rnacentral:rRNA from 1 species
UACGAAGGGGGCUAGCGUUGCUCGGAAUCACUGGGCGUAAAGGGUGCGUAGGCGGGUCUUUAAGUCAGGGGUGAAAUCCCGUGAGUCAACUCCAGAACUGCCUUUGAUACUGAGGAUCUUGAGUUCGGGAGAGGUGAGUGGAACUGCGAGUGUAGAGGUGAAAUUCGUAGAUAUUCGCAAGAACACCAGUGGCGAAGGCGGCUCACUGGCCCGAUACUGACGCUGAGGCACGAAAGCGUGGGGAGCAAACAGG